rnacentral:rRNA from 1 species
GGGUAGUCCGCACGAGCGCACCCCUAUCCUUAGUUGCUAGCAGGUAAUGCUGAGAACUCUANCCNAUUACUGCCGGUGAUAAACCGGAGGAAGGUGGGGACGACGNCAAGUCAUCAUGGCCCUUACGUGUAGGGCUACACACGUGCUACAAUGGCGCAUACAGAGUGCUGCGAACCUGCGAAGGUAAGCGAAUCACUUAAAGUGCGUCGUAGUCCGGAUUGGAGUCUGCAACUCGACUCCAUGAAGUCGGAAUCGCUAGUAAUCGCGUAUCAGAAUGACGCGGUGAAUACGUUCCCGGGCCUUGUACACACCGCCCGUCACACCAUGGGAGUGGGUUGCUCCAGAAGUAGAUAGUCUAACCCUCGGGAGGACGUUUACCACGGAGUGAUUCAUGACUGGGGUGAAGUCGUAACAAGGUAGCCCUAGGGGAACCUGGGGCUGGAUCACCUCCUU